AUUGUAUGGUAUUAAAUCCUUUUUUGAAGGUUAUUUUAUUGUUAAAAUUAACAGUGGUCAAGGAAUUUAUUUAGACUAUAAAGAAGAAACUGUCACUUUACUGUAGUGGACACCAUAUCUUGCUGCAUAAAAUACCUCAGGCUGUAGUAAUGGAGCACUAUUUAAUUGACUUAAUGAGGCAUUCCCAAUUACCCCAACAUGGCUGCCUGUCCUUUCUGACCCCAAGGCAUCCAUGUUUGUAUCACUGUUUUGUAUGUUUUUGUUUAUGUAAGUAUGUUUUAAAAAAUUCAGUAAAAAGGGUUUUCAAUUGUUCCCCUUUUCCACAUUCUAUAGGUCUCAUAACAACAAACUACAGUCUUCGGCCUCUUAGAAAACCCCACAUAUUUGUCAAAAAUGCACUCAAUGAGAAUUGAGUUAAUUUCUGAACAGUAAAUCAGUCUAUGCUGGAACCUGGUUCCUGUGCUUUGGGACCACCAUCCUCUCCCUCCUGGCCCCUCUACAACCUCCCUCCCUCCAACCCCCACCCGCAAAAACAAAACAAAAAGGAAGACUCCUUGUUUCACAAGCAGCGCUACACCCACGGAACUGUCAGGUGAUGCUGCUGCUCGCCAAGCUCUGCCACAUGGACAUUUUUGCAGGGAGUUAAAAUGGAGGGUUUGAAUAAAGGCAUUUCUGGCGAAGGUUACCUCGAAGAAAAAACUUCCUAUGGACCUCUCAUGUUUAAUUUUUGUCAUUUUUUAGUUUGUUUUCAUUCUUUAUCACAUGCUCUCACGAGUUGAAGAAAUUAAGAAAAGCUCUUAUACUUCCAUGGCCAUGCUCAACAAAAAGCAUUUAUGAUGCCUGUUUGAACGUUGAAGCAAUUUGAGCCGAGUUGCACUCAGCGUAUCAGAUUGCACAGUGUGUUUUCUCCCCUCAAUCACUUUUUUGGAGGUGGUGUGAAAGAUUGAUCUCGUUGGGAUUGAUCUGCUUAAGUUGGACCUACCUGUUAUUUGGAAACCAACCGUUUGAGUUUCAGUCGAGCUGUGCUGAAAGGAGUAAAGUAUUUGGUAUAAAUUACCCAACAGUAAUAACACCCUGAGAAGGAUAAUAACACAAUGUUUAUUAGACGGUAUCCUGCCCUGUUUGUAAAACUUGUCAAAUUUUGAAUUGUUUUCUUUUUUCUUUUUUUUGUAUUACAGCUAAAUAAAUAUUGAUGUAUAUGAAACAUAAUAAAUGGAGAAGACUGAACUCUUCCAC
ensembl:lncRNA